rnacentral:piRNA from 1 species
AAACGUCUCCUGAACCAAUCCUUAUAGUCCA